GAUGAACGCUGGCGGCGUGCCUAAUACAUGCAAGUCGAGCGAACAUAUUAGGAGCUUGCUUCUCUGACGUUAGCGGCGGACGGGUGAGUAACACGUGGAUAACCUACCUAUAAGACUGGGAUAACUUCGGGAAACCGGAGCUAAUACCGGAUAAUAUUUUCAACCGCAUGGUUCAAUAGUGAAAGACGGUUUUGCUGCCACUUAUAGAUGGAUCCGCGCCGCAUUAGCUAGUUGGUAAGGUAACGGCUUACCAAGGCAACGAUGCGUAGCCGACCUGAGAGGGUGUUGGCCCACCUUGGAAGGGAACCAGGGCCCAGACUCCUACGGAAGGAGGCGGUGGGGAAUCUUCCGCAAUGGGCAAAAGCCUGACGGGGCAACGCCGCGUGAGGGAUGAGGGUCUUCGGAUCGUAAAACUCUGUUAUUAGGGAGAAACAAAUGUGUAAGUACCUAUGCGCGUCUUGACGGUACCUGGUCAGAAAGCCACGGCUAACUACGUG
rnacentral:rRNA from 1 species